AUUUACAGCAUGMCGGUAAGCCAUACUGUAACAAGCCCUGUUAUGCYGCUCUUUUUGGACCUGGUGGUUUUGGMAGGGGUGGAACUGAAUCAUACAAAUACUAGAGGUUACUAAGACAACUCAAAGUUGACUUCAUAACUUAUAUACACACUCUUGUGAUAAGCUAAUAUAAUGUACUUAGUUUUUCAUUAAUGAAUGACAUUCAAUAAGUGUCGAGCACAAUAUCUCAGCCCUUAUUUAUAAACACACAGAUCUUGCAAAUAAAGUCUUGAUUCAAACAUU